GACGAACGCUGGCGGCGUGCUUAACACAUGCAAGUCGAACGGAAAUGCCCUGCUUUUGUGGGGUGCUGUAGUGGCGAACGGGUAAGGAACACUUAAGUAACCUAUCCUUGAGUUUGGGUUAACUUCAGGAAACUGGGGCUAUUACCGGAUAAGAGCUCCUGCUGCAUGGUGGGGCUUGGUAAGUUUCGGCGGUUGGGUGUGGACUCGCGGCUUAUCAGCGUGUUGGUGGGGUAGUGGCGUACCCAGGCUUUGACAGGUUGCCGGGCUGAGAGGGUGACCGGACAAAUCAGGAUUGAGAUACGGCCCAGACUAAUACGGGAGGGGGCAGUGGAGAAUAGAGUACAAUGGGCGGGACCAUGAUGUAACGACGCCGCGUGGGGGAUAAGGGCCUUCGGGUUGUAUACCGCUAUCGCUUGUGAGGAAGCGUGAGUGACGGUAAUGGGUAAAGAAGCACCGGCUAACUACGUG
rnacentral:rRNA from 1 species